rnacentral:rRNA from 1 species
GAUGAACGCUGGCGGCGUGCCUAAUACAUGCAAGUCGAGCGAACAGACGAGGAGCUUGCUCCUCUGAUGUUAGCGGCGGACGGGUGAGUAACACGUGGAUAACCUACCUAUAAGACUGGGAUAACUUCGGGAAACCGGAGCUAAUACCGGAUAAUAUAUUGAACCGCAUGGUUCAACAGUGAAAGACGGUUUUGCUGUCACUUAUAGAUGGAUCCGCGCCGCAUUAGCUAGUUGGUAAGGUAACGGCUUACCAAGGCGACGAUGCGUAGCCGACCUGAGAGGGUGAUCGGCCACACUGGAACUGAGACACGGUCCAGACUCCUACGGGAGGCAGCAGUAGGGAAUCUUCCGCAAUGGGCGAAAGCCUGACGGAGCAACGCCGCGUGAGUGAAGAAGGUCUUCGGAUCGUAAAACUCUGUUAUUAGGGAAGAACAAAUGUGUAAGUAACUAUGCACGUCUUGACGGUACCUAAUCAGAAAGCCACGGCUAACUACGUG